AGCGAACGCUGGCGGCAGGCCUAACACAUGCAAGUCGAACGAUCCUUCGGGAUAGUGGCGGACGGGUGAGUAACACGUGGGAACGUGCCCUUUGGUUCGGAACAACUCAGGGAAACUUGAGCUAAUACCGAAUGUGCCCUUCGGGGGAAAGAUUUAUCGCCAUUGGAGCGGCCCGCGUCUGAUUAGCUAGUUGGUGAGGUAACGGCUCACCAAGGCGACGAUCAGUAGCUGGUCUGAGAGGAUGAUCAGCCACACUGGGACUGAGACACGGCCCAGACUCCUACGGGAGGCAGCAGUGGGGAAUCUUGCGCAAUGGGCGAAAGCCUGACGCAGCCAUGCCGCGUGAAUGAUGAAGGUCUUAGGAUUGUAAAAUUCUUUCACCGGGGACGAUAAUGACGGUACCCGGAGAAGAAGCCCCGGCUAACUUCGUGCCAGCCGCCGCAGUAAUAC
rnacentral:rRNA from 1 species